rnacentral:misc_RNA from 1 species
CCAAAGGAAAUAUUUUCUUCACCUAAAACAAGGAAAAAGAAACCAAAUCAGGGGAAAAUGAGAUAAAAUCCAAUGUUUUCAUUGCAUUUGCUUUUUAUCCCAACUCUGUGAGCUUAGCAAAACUAGCCGGUCUCAAGCCCGGAUAAAGGAAGAAGGUUGCUGUAAGUUGAUGGCAAGCAUAAAAUUCAGUCAUCUCUCAUGAUAUAUAUGCACUGAAUAUCCUGAAAAGGCUUCCUAGUAUCAUGCUUUCUCAUUUGUAAAAGGAACAAAAAAUGAAGCGAAGUAUAAUGAUUCCACAAAUUUACUUUAGCAGGUUAAGCAAAAUAAUUGUACACUAUAUCUUUGUGGGCAUAUCACACAGAGUUCUGAUUUGUUAAGUAGUGUCUCAUAGUCCCUGAUAGAAAUGUAUAGAUUGAAAGCAAACCAAUAAGGUUUUUUAUUAUGAUUUCCACAUUGGUCUUAACUUUUUUUUUUAAACUGAAUAUCGGUCUUAAACCUUGUUCAAGCCCAUAGGGGAAAAAAAAAUUUUAAGAUAUAAGCUUUCACUGUUUCAGCUUGACUCUUUAGGGUCAAACCAAAUGUACCACUUGCCUGAUCAAAGUGGAUGAACAUGU